AAGGCGCAUUGAGAGUCGGGGUAACCCGAGCCAACCUGCCCCCGGGGCAAGGUGGAUCGCGAAAGCGGAUGUGGCCACUUUGGCAACCAAGCCGGACAUC
rnacentral:ncRNA from 1 species